rnacentral:rRNA from 1 species
CCCUUCGACGUCUGGGGCCGCACGCGUGCUACAGUGGUGGUGGUAACGCGCGUUCCGUGCUCGUAAGGUGUUCGGGAAUCGUCAAGCUCCCCCAUGCCGGGGAUCGCGGCUUGCAAUUGUGCCUCGUGAACCAGGAAUGCCUAGUAGUCGCGGGUCAUGACCUCGCGUCGACUGCGUCCCUGCCCUUUGUACACACCGCCCGUCGCUCCUACCGAUUGGGUGUGCUGGUGAAAUGUUCGGAUCGGCCGUUUGUCGCGGUUUCCGCGUCAUGUGGCUGAGAAGUUCAUUAAACCCUCCCACCUAGAGGAAGGAGAAGUCGUAACA